GACGAACGCUGGCGGCGUGCUUAACACAUGCAAGUCGAACGGUAAGGCCCUUCGGGGUACACGAGUGGCGAACGGGUGAGUAACGCGUGAGUAACUUGCCCUUCACUCGGGGAUAACAGUUGGAAACGGCUGCUAAUACCGGAAAUUCAGCCCCUUUCGCAUGGGGGGGGUGGGAAGGUUUUGGUGGUGGGGGAUGGGCUCGCGUCCUAUCAGCUUGUUGGUGGGGUGAUGGCCUACCAAGGCGUCGACGGGUAGCCGGCCUGAGAGGGCGAUCGGCCACAUUGGGACUGAGAUACGGCCCAAACUCCUACGGGAGGCAGCAGUGGGGAAUAUUGCACAAUGGGCGGAAGCCUGAUGCAGCAACGCCGCGUGCGGGAUGACGGCCUUCGGGUUGUAAACCGCUUUCAGCAGGGACGAAGCGCAAGUGACGGUACCUGCAGAAGAAGCACCGGCUAACUACGUG
rnacentral:rRNA from 1 species